rnacentral:rRNA from 1 species
GACGAACGCUGGCGGCGUGCUUAACACAUGCAAGUCGUACGGUAAGGCCCUUUCGGGGGUACACGAGUGGCGAACGGGUGAGUAACACGUGAGUAACCUGCCCACAACUUUGGGAUAACGCUAGGAAACUGGUGCUAAUACUGGAUAUGUUCUCCUGCUGCAUGGUGGGGGUUGGAAAGCUCCGGCGGUUGUGGAUGGACUCGCGGCCUAUCAGCUUGUUGGUGGGGUAGUGGCCUACCAAGGCGGCGACGGGUAGCCGGCCUGAGAGGGUGACCGGCCACAUUGGGACUGAGAUACGGCCCAGACUCCUACGGGAGGCAGAAGUGGGGAAUAUUGCACAAUGGGCGCAAGCCUGAUGCAGCAACGCCGCGUGCGGGAGGACGGCCUUCGGGUUGUAAACCGCUUUCAGCAGGGACGAAGCUUUUUGUGACGGUACCUGCAGAAGAAGCACCGGCUAACUACGUG